rnacentral:rRNA from 1 species
CAGUCGCCACGGGAAUACAGAGGGUGCAAGCGUUAAUCGGAAUUACUGGGCGUAAAGCGCGCGUAGGUGGUUUGUUAAGUUGGAUGUGAAAUCCCCGGGCUCAACCUGGGAACUGCAUCCAAAACUGGCAGGCUAGAGUAGGGCAGAGGGUGGUGGAAUUUCCUGUGUAGCGGUGAAAUGCGUAGAUAUAGGAAGGAACACCAGUGGCGAAGGCGACCACCUGGGCUCAUACUGACACUGAGGUGCGAAAGCGUGGGGAGCAAACAGGAUUAGAUACCCCUGUAGUCCCUGUCUCUUAUAC